rnacentral:rRNA from 1 species
UACGGAGGGUGCAAGCGUUAAUCGGAAUUACUGGGCGUAAAGCGUGCGUAGGUGGUUCGUUAAGUCCGUUGUGAAAGCCCCGAGCUCAACUUGGGAAUUGCAGUGGAUACUGGCGAGCUGGAGUGCGGUAGAGGAAGGUGGAAUUCCCGGUGUAGCGGUGAAAUGCGUAGAGAUGUGGAGGAACACCGAUGGCGAAGGCACCUCCGGUGCAAGAUUGACGCUCAUGCACGAAAGCGUGGGGAGCAAACAGG